UCCAGCAAAAGAGAUGCCAGGCUUCAAAAUGAACCUUAGUCACCUUUUUAUUGGUGUACAUUCUCCACGCUGUCUAUAAAUUUUCAUUAAUUUCCGCCGUCUGCUUUGGGUGGGAGUAGGACCUGGAACGUAUUGGCUUCAGACAAUACCCCAACAGCUGCAUAGCCUCACCAAUCAUUGCUCGUUGAGAAUAUUUUGGGCGGCCGCGUCCGAUAAUGACUCUGGCAUGCUACUUGCUUACUGUGUGUGGUAUUGAUCCUAAUGCUUGCAUCAAACACUGUGUUUCAUUUGCGGCCAUGCCUUGUCAGACAUAUGCUGUUCUCACAAGGGAAGAUGUCUUACCAUUGGAUUAUACUACUUGGGACUAUCCUUAUAUCACUGGCUCUAGUUACAGGACAUGAACCAAAAAGGGACAUGAUAGGGAGAUGUUAUAAAUGUGUCUACCAUCCAAAUAUAGAGAAUGAUACGUGGACUUUGGCUCAAGAUGGACAAAAAUACUUCAAUACACCACUAUGUCUUACACCAAAUGAAAGUCUACCACUAUGUGAUACACAUCCCUAUGGCAGAUGUUUGAAAGGUGUAAAUUUCCAUAGCGAUGGUACAGAAGAACUCGUCCGUAACUGUUACGAUGUGUGCCUUGAACAAACUUAUUCCGGUUUCGCUUUCGGUUUUGGCACCAUGCACAGCACCCAUUUUUGCUGUGACGCCUUCAAAAAGCCAUGUAACGGAGGAAACACUAUUCGCUCGGUGAAAACAACAUCCUGGAUUAUGAUUUCGACAUUCCUUAUGACAUUUACACAGGUGUUCUUUCGAUGGUGUGGUUGACCUUUAUUGACAAUUCAGAUUAUUAAUUUUUGUUUUCAUUCCUAAGGACGCGUCAGUUGGUUCUGACGUCAUACGUCAUGAGUCUGCUGAAAAGAGACGAGUGACAAUCGCUUUACCAUUCAGUAUUGGACCUAAAUGUACAUACAACCUGUAGCAUUCAUGAAAACUCUCAGCUACAUUUUGAAAUACAUGUUAUAUCUAACCACAAAACCCAUCAAAUGCCCAAAACUAAAUAAGCUUGUAAACAUCAGAGUCUUUCAAAGACUCUAGUGAGCGGACGCAGAAACUGUUACCAUGGUAACCAUCAUCCUGAACCUCAUGGUCUAUAUACUCCCUUUAAACGUAUAGCCGAGAUGAGAUGCAAAAACCUUGGUGGUCAAGAUGGGUAACAAUGUCACCAGUGGAGAAGAUGUAUGUCAUCUCAUUUAUAGUAAUUCGAAUAAUCAUCUAGUUUGCUCAUUUUAAUGAAGAAUAAUAUGUUUUGAAUAUUCCUGGGACGCCCCAGUAUGCUCAGACAACGGGUAGGAGAAGAAAAAUGUAUUAUUAUGAAGUUUAUGCUUAUAUAAAGGUUUAAUCGUUUUCAAUUUGAUAUGACCGAUUAAUUCCUGAUAUGAUACAUUUUGCCCAAGGGAGAACAUUCACGAAUUAAUUUGCUCAUUCAUAUAUAUUGUGAUGAAUGAGCACAUAUAAACUGAGUGAAUGUCAGCCCUUGGUGCUUCAAGAUGGUACUAACCUAUAGAAUGCGUCGUUGAACAAAAACGCUUUAUAUCAAUAAUCCAUCGCUUUUAAUUCAGGUCUUUCUCUUUCUAAAUCUAUGCAUACAUUUUUAAACUUUAUUGUCAUAAUGUAAAUACAUUUUCGAGUAUUGAGGUAACAUUUUAACCUGAUUAAACUUUAUCAAGG